rnacentral:misc_RNA from 1 species
GGAAUAGUUGAUAUGAUUUCCCUGCACAGGAUAAAUAAGCUCGUUAUGGGAGCAGCUGUAGACAAGAGUUAUUCAAGGAGAAUGGUGGAUCUGAAGUCUAAGAAAGCCAUUUACGUGCGUUCACAGGCACCGGCUUUCUGUCACAUUGACUUUAUUUGCAAGGGGAACCUCAUCUGCACCAGGGAGGGUAGAUCAGAUGGAGCUCAAGUAGAAACCGUCAUCUCAUCACCACAAACAAGUCCAG